ACUCCUACGGGAGGCAGCAGUGGGGAAUAUUGCACAAUGGGGGAAACCCUGAUGCAGCCAUGCCGCGUGUGUGAAGAAGGCCUUCGGGUUGUAAAGCACUUUCAGUAGGGAGGAAGGUAGUGUAGUUAACACCUGCACUAUUUGUACGUUACCUACAGAAGAAGCACCGGCUAACUCCGUGCCAGCAGCCGCGGUAAUACGGAGGGUGCGAGCGUUAAUCGGAAUUACUGGGCGUAAAGCGCAUGCAGGCGGCCUGUUAAGUCAGAUGUGAAAGCCCGGGGCUUAACCUCGGAAUUGCAUUUGAAACUGGCAGGCUAGAGUCUUGUAGAGGGGUAGAAUUUCAGGUGUAGCGGUGAAAUGCGUAGAGAUCUGAAGG
rnacentral:rRNA from 1 species